rnacentral:rRNA from 1 species
GAUGAACGCUGGCGGCGUGCCUAAUACAUGCAAGUCGAGCGAACAGAUCAGGAUCUUGCUCCUCUGACGUUAGCAGCGGGCGGGUGAGUAACACGUGGAUAACCUACCUAUAUGACUUGGAUAACUUCGGGAAACCGUAGCUCAUACCAGAUAAUAUUUUUAACCGGAUGGUUCAAUAGUGAAAGACGGGUUUGCUGUCGAUUAUAGAUGGAUCCGCGCCGCAUUAGCUAGUUGGUAUGGUAACGGCUUACCAAGUCAACGAUGGGUAGCCGAACUCGGAGGGUGAUAGGCCACACGGGAACUGAACCACGGUCCAGACUACUACGGUAGGCAGCAGUCGGGAACCGGACGCAACGGGGGAAAGCAUGACGGAGCAACGGCGAGUGAGUGAUAAAGGUCCCCGGAUCGUAAAACUGUGUUAUGAGGGAAGAACAACUGUGUAAGUAAAUGUGGCCGUCUUGACGGUACCUAAUAAGAAAGCACCGGCUAACUACGUG